CUACUCCUGUCGUGGUGGGAUUGCCAGUGCUUUCUCUGAUGAGCUCAGAGUCCCUUUAAGGAAGACUUAACCUAAGACUCUUGAGAGGAACUCAAGAACCAUGGCUGGAACUGGUUUGAUACUGGAUUGCAGUGAGCCACAUGCCGUACCACUGAAUCUCUCCUUUUGAGCUGGUGAACUCAUAUUCAAAUUGGCUUUCAGCUGUGAAAAAAUCUUCUGAGUGAAAAGAGGAGAUGUUUUCUCCAGUUUAGGGAUUGAGUUUGCAAUUAAAAUGAGGACAUUCAGCUGUGAGCCAGGAAAUGCUCUUUGCUCAUAGUCUCAAACAGCCUGUGAGAGGGGUCCUCACGAGAGGACUAUGAGAGCGUCUUUUCCUGUGUUCUUUUUGGGGGGAGGAGACGACACGUGGCCUUGUCUUUUCUGGGGAUAACACGAGGGGACAGUGUCUCAGGGAUGCAUCUUGUUUUAUUUUGAAUUGCAACUUGGAGAAUGGGAUGUCAGUUUUAUAUUACAGCAAACUGUGUUUGCCCUGCAUAAGGAGUCAGAAAAAGAGGAGAUGAAUUCUCACCUCUGCCUGCUUCUGCAGUCUGCCUUAGCUGCCUACUAAGUGGCCGAUCAUUCCAGCAUCUCCUAUGAACACAGUCCAUAGGCUCCAGAGCCACAGAAGCUGAGAGGAUGGAGGAAAAGGUUCUUCUCCAAUAGGAAAGAGGUUGGCACAUAGGACAGACUUUCUAGAAAGAGAGUACUUCAUGAGAAAGGCUGGUCUGGAUGAAGCACAAGCUGGAAU